rnacentral:rRNA from 1 species
UACGUAGGGUGCAAGCGUUAAUCGGAAUUACUGGGCGUAAAGCGUGCGCAGGCGGUUUUGUAAGUCAGAUGUGAAAUCCCCGGGCUUAACCUGGGAACUGCGUUUGAAACUGGGAGGCUAGAGUGCGGCAGAGGGGGGUGGAAUUCCACGUGUAGCAGUGAAAUGCGUAGAUAUGUGGAGGAUCACCGAUGGCGAAGGCAGCCCCCUGGGCCUGCACUGACGCUCAUGCACGAAAGCGUGGGGAGCAAACAGG